CAAGUGCUGGUUGUCACGGCAGAAGAGUUUCACACCAGCAGCUGAGAGAAUUGCGUGAAUCACCAUUGAUUCAAUACCUUUUGAGAGCAACCAAAGCUGCACACAUCAUUUCCUUCUCACUUCCUUGUUGUUUCAAGUCAUUUGUUUUGCAAAAGUAUUUGUAAAUGGCCAUUAAGCAAGUGACUUGGAAGAAUUCACAAGUGUUCUUCCAUCACUUGUAAACCUUUUGCUCUUAAUUUCUCAUUAAAAU
rnacentral:lncRNA from 1 species